GAAAGAGUGCCGUGUGGGAAGGUUUAUAAUUGCAAACGGGGCUGUGCAGGGACGGUCUCACUGGGAAGGAGACACCCUGGCUAUGGAGCUCGCCAGGAAACAGGAGGAUGCCUGUGGGAAACGGAGAAGGGAGAAGGAGGCUCCAAGGUCCUGAGGAGGAGCCAUCUUGUAGGAAGCGUGUCUGUGGUGAUCUUGCAGGAAUAAGCCCCCAGGGGCGGGACCCUGGUGGUCGAUCACGUUUGUAGACUGCAUGAGGCCUGGCCCAGCCCCAGGGACGUUUGUGAAGUCGUGUCCGACUCUUUGCGACCCCAGGAGCUGCAGCACGCCAGGCCUCCCUGUCCUUCACCGUCUCCCCGAGUUUGCUCAAACCCAUGUCCAUCGAGUCGGUGAUGCCAUCCAGCCAUCUCAUCCUCUGUCGUCCCCUUCUCCUCCUGCCCCCAAUCUUUCCCGACAUCAGGGUCUUUUCCAAUGAGUCGGCUCUUCCCAUCAGGUGGACCUUAAAGUAUUGGAGUUUCAGCUUCAUCGUCAGUCCUUCCAAUGACUAUUCCAGAUUAAUUUCCUUUAGGAUGGACUGGUUGGAUCUCCUUGGUGUCCAAGGGACUCUAAAGUCUUCUCUAACACCACAGUUCAAAAGCAUCAGUUCUUCGGCGCUCAGCUUUCUUUAUGGUCCAACUCAUAUGUAUGUAUCGUAUUCUUUUUUUCAGACUGUUUUCCUGUAUAGGUUAUUACAACAUACUGAGUACAUAGCACAUUGAGCAUGCUUCCCUGUGCUGCGUAGGGGCCUCGUUGUUUAUUUCACACGUAGCGGGGUGUGUCUGUUAGUCUCAGUCGCCUGAGGUGUCCCUCCCUGCUCCCUCUCAUCUUUGAUUAUCAUACGUUUGUUCUCUGUGUCUGUGAGUGUUUCUGUCCUGUGAAUUAGCUCAUCUGCCUUGUCAUUACUGUUAUUACUGCCAUUGUUACUCUGGCUGCACCACACGGACUUGUGGGCUCUUGGCUCCCUGACCGAGGAUUGAACCUGCCCCUCGGCCGUGAAAGCAUGGAGUCCCAAAUACUGAGCCACCAGGGAAUUUCCCAUAUCGUUUUUUAGACUCCACACAUAGUGAUGUUGAAGGACGUUUGCCUUUGGCUUAUUUCACCAGCGUGAUGACCUCUAAAUGCGUCUGUGUUGCGGCAAAUGGCAGUGUUUCUUUCUUACAGCCGCGCAGUAUUCCACUGUGUGCCCUCAUCUACCCAUGGACAUCGAGGUUGCUUCCAUGUCUUGGCUAGUGUAAAUAGCACAGUUCACACUUUCAUAUAAGAAUUAUUUGAAUCCCUGUCGAUUUUCUAGUCUGUAGAGCUGUAAGUUCCUUUAAAGACUGAGGACGGUGGUGGGCAGCUGGUCAGGACGCCUGCCACGUCUCAGAGUCUUCCACCAGUCGCUCUGUGCUCCUCGGGCCUCCUCUCCCUGCCCUCUUGCUCAGUCUGGUCCAGGCACAGUCUCCCUGCUGCCCUCCAAGCUGGCUAAAGCCCUGCCCUCGGGGCUCUGUGUCCUCUGGUCCUGCCCGCCUGGAGUGGGCUGGCCUGAGACCCCCGCAGCCCCCGUCCUUCUCAGGCCCUGCCCGGGGUCACCUUCUCAGGGAGGACCCCAUCCCCUCCCCGCUUUAUUUCCCCUUCUAGCACAUACUGCAAAUGGCGGAAUUCUGUCUCCUCCACUGCACGUCUGUUGAAUGGAAAAUUAGAGUGACUACCAGGUCCCAGGUACUAGGAAUUAUUUUUAGAGUCAUAAGAUUUAAGAUCUUUUCAGCACUGUGUCAUUUUUUUUUAAAGCCGGGUUUCUUAACUGAAAUAGGAUUAAUGUACAAUAUUCUGUUGGUUUCAGGUGUACAUCGAAGCAGUUCAGUUACAUAUAUACAUGCAUUUACAUGCACUUUUCAGAGUAUUUUCCAUUAUAGGUACAUUGCAGGGUAUUGAAUAUGGUUCCUUGUGCUGUUCAAUAAACCCUUGCUGCUUCCCUAUUUUGUGUAUAGGAGUGUGUAUUUGUUAAGUCCACACUCCUAGUUCAUCCCUCUCCACCUCUUUCCCCUCGGUUGCCACGAGCUUGUCUUCUCUGUCUGUGAGUCUGGCUCUGUUUUGUGCAUAAGUUCAUUUGUAUUGAUUUUUCGAUUCUACCUAUGUGGUGUCACAUGGUGUUCAUCUUUCUCUGACUUACUUCACUUAGCAUGAUAAUCUCGGGGUUUAUCCACGUUGCUGUAAAUGGCAACAUCUCAUUCUUUUUAUCACUAAUCUUCUAACAUACAUGUAUAUAUAUGCAUAUAUAUGUGCGUGCGUGCGUGUGUGUGUGUAUGUGUAAAUAUGUGUGUGUUGGUCUUUCAGUCAUGUCUGACUCUUUGCUUCUCUAUGGACUGUAGCCCGCCAGGCUCCUCUGUCUACAGGAUUCUCCAGGCAAGAAUUCUGGAGUGGGUUGCCAUGCCCUGCUCCAGGGGAUCUUCCUGACCCAGGGAUCAAACCGGGGUCUCCUGCCUUUCGGGCGGAUGCUUUACCGUCUGCGCCGCAGGGAAGCCGUCACCGCAGCUUCUUAAACCGAUUGUCUGUUGAUGGGCACUCGGUUGUUCCCACUUCUUGACUGCUACAGAGAGUGCUUCUAUGACCAUUGGGGUGGGACCCCGCUAUUUUAAAGACAAGGAG
ensembl:lncRNA